UUCUAUUGCGGAGAUGGCAUUCCUCCCGUAACCACCCCUAGAGGGUUGAUGAUGCCUACGGUAUU
rnacentral:ncRNA from 21 species